rnacentral:rRNA from 1 species
AUACGGAGGAUCCGAGCGUUAUCCGGAUUUAUUGGGUUUAAAGGGAGCGUAGGCGGGAGAUCAAGUCAGCUGUGAAAUGUAGAUGCUCAACAUCUGCACUGCAGUUGAAACUGGUUUUCUUGAGUGCGUAAGGGGCAGGCGGAAUUCGUCGUGUAGCGGUGAAAUGCUUAGAUAUGACGAAGAACUCCGAUCGCGAAGGCGGCCUGCCGGGCCGCGACUGACGCUGAAGCUCGAAGGUGCGGGUAUCGAACAGGAUUAGAUACCCUGGUAGUCCGCACAGUAAACGAUGGAUACUCGCUGUCGGCGAUAUACGGUCGGUGGCCAAGCGAAAGCGUUAAGUAUCCCACCUGGGGAGUACGCCGGCAACGGUGAAACUCAAAUGAAUUGGCGGGG